rnacentral:lncRNA from 7 species
AAUAUUGUUUUAUGCGCUAAAAUGAGAAGUUAAUCGCAAACGUUUCUAGUAUUAAAUCACAAAGUUAAUGAAUUGUGACAUUAUUUAUUUUCGAAAUAUAAAAACAAUAUCCAUAUCCAAAAUAUUGUUGCAGGGGCUUAUUCACAAUUAAACGUAUACACCAGGGAAUAGCAAGAAAUAAAUAGGGAUAUCUUUUUAAUGGUUUCUGAACUGGAAAAUGUCUGAACUAAAUUUACACAAAUCCAGGGACUAGAACGCAAAGUGGUCAUCUUCUACCUUGGGCUAGUCUUUGCGUGCAGGGGAGGGGCUCGGCGAGUAGGAGCGGGGCGGACGCGACCGUGAGGGCUUGGGCGCGGUCGGGGUACUGUGCGGGCGCGGUCGACGGUGGACGGUCCGGGCAGGGCACGGGCACGGCCGGGCGAACUGUCCGGUAGGGCAUGCCUCGCCCGAACAGGAUCACGGCGGCGAACGGUGAGAGAGAGGAUGAGGGAAAGAGGGCAAGCUUGGGUGAAGGGAGGAGCAGGGGCUCGACUGUCCAAUUUAUAGAAGGAUAGGGGAAAGGGAAGAGGCACCCAUGGAGAGGGAAGGUCGGUCGCGGCUCAAUGAAAGCCAAUAAUGGCGGUAGGUUUCAUUAGGGGAGAAUGAAUGGGGGAGGGAGAGGAAGAGCCGGCAGCGGCGGUUUCAGGCGCGGUUAGGCGAGGGGUUGGACGCGCGGACGGUCUGGCCUGACGCAGGCACAGGCGGCUUGGCCGGGCGUGGAUGCGAUGCGGGCACGCGCUAGCGUGGGGUCGGGCAUGGGAACGACCAGAGGAAGAAGGUGCUGGAGGU